GGGGAUUUAGCUCAGUUGGCCAGAGCGUGUGACUCGCAGUCACAAGGUCGGGGGUUCGACUCCCCCCAUCUCCA
rnacentral:tRNA from 1 species